rnacentral:lncRNA from 12 species
CUUGCUUUCAGCUCCGUUCAUGGAUUUGCUGGCUGAGACAAUGUUUGGAGUAAAGUCACAUGAUCAAUCUGCAUUUUCUUGCAGUCUUCCUGAGCUUUUGCACCAUUCUUUUUCGUGCCAGUUCCUGUGCACCCCUGCCCUGUGAAGAAGCACAGCUGGAGGCUGCAGGGAGGAGGAGGAGCUCUCCAGGGUUCUGCUCAACCUGAGGUGCAAGGAUCUGGGCAGAAGUUCCUCAAAUCUGGCCUUCAAUCCAGCCAGCUUGAGUCACCUUGUAGAAAUCUCCAAUGGUAUCAUGCUGGUAAAGACUCUGCAUUGCAAGGUUAAAAAUGGAAAAGGGAAUUCUGACAACUCCUGAUUUACCUGCCUGCAUUGUAAUGUUCUGAGUAGUGCCCUGAGUGUGGAGCUUGCAGUCCUCCUCCACUUGGUGCUUCUGAAGGGAUGGUAGACCAGUGGAGGUGGGAACGAUGGCUGUGGAGGAGGAGGUGACAGACUUCCAGGAGCAAUGAUGAAACUGUGAACUCACCAGAAGUGGGCCUACAGCUGAUGGAUUCAGUUUCUGAGGAUCCAUUCAGGAGCAAUUUCAUCAUGCUGGGAAUUACAGGUAGCCUUGAAGCAAUGUGAAACAUAGCUUCAUUUUAAACAACAUUUUC